CCCUAUCCGUCGCGGGCGUAGGAAAUUUGAGAGGAGCUGUCCUUAGUACGAGAGGACCGGGAUGGACGCACCGCUGGUGUACCAGUUGUUCCGCCAGGAGCACAGCUGGGUAGCUAUGUGCGGAAGGGAUAAGCGCUGAAAGCAUCUAAGCGUGAAGCCCCCCUCAAGAUGAGAUUUCCCAUCGCGUCAAGCGAGUAAGAUCCCUUGAAGAUGACAAGGUAGAUAGGUCCGAGGUGGAAGCGUGGCGACACGUGCAGCUGACGGAUACUAAUCGAUCGAGGACUUAAC
rnacentral:rRNA from 1 species